UCGGUACUCUCAAUUUGGAGCAGGUUCACCAAAUUAAAAGUCGAUUAGUUGCAAUAACUGGGCGCAUCCAGAAUGUAAGGGAUGAAUUGGAGCACUUGCUAGAUGAUGAUGAAGAUAUGGCUGAGAUGUAUUUAACUGAGAAAGAACUACUUGAAAAUUCAUCAACCUCGUCUAUGAAUGAUAGAGAAGACAUGGGUGGUGAAGUUCUUCGACCAUACAUCAAUGAUAGGUGCUAAACAAUUUCACCGUUUGUUUUCAUCAAAGAUUCACCUUUUCAGCUUCAAAUGAUACCGCAAACUCAACAUCAACAGAACCAUAACUGACUCAAGGUUUGGAUUGAGAUUGUUACAAUGAAAUAUUC